UCGAGGAUCUUUGGCAAUGGGCGCAAGCCUGACCAAGCGACGCCGCGUGUGCGAUGAAGGCCUUCGGGUUGUAAAGCACUGUCGAGGGGGAUAAAGCCCCGCAAGGGGUUGAUUGAUCCCUGGAGGAAGCACGGGCUAAGUUCGUGCCAGCAGCCGCGGUAAGACGAACCGUGCGAACGUUGUUCGGAAUCACUGGGCUUAAAGGGCGCGUAGGCGGCAUGGCCAGUCCGGGGUGAAAGCCCCCAGCUCAACUGGGGAAGUGCCUUGGAAACUGCUGUGCUCGAGGGAGGUAGGGGUCGAGGGAACUUCUGGUGGAGCGGUGAAAUGCGUUGAUAUCAGAAGGAACGCCGGUGGCGAAAGCGCUCGACUGGACCUUUGCUGACGCUGAGGCGCGAAAGCUAGGGGAGCAAACGG
rnacentral:rRNA from 1 species